UAACGCGUGAGCAACCUGCCCCAUGCAGGGGGAUAACACUCGGAAACGGGUGCUAAUACCGCAUAAGGUCACAUAGUCGCAUGGCUAAGUGAACAAAGCUGAGGCGGCAUGGGAUGGGCUCGCGUCCAAUUAGCUAGUUGGUAGGGCAAAGGCCUACCAAGGCGACGAUUGGUAGCCGAACUGAGAGGUUGGUCGGCCGCAUUGGGACUGAGACACGGCCCAGACUCUACGGGA
rnacentral:rRNA from 1 species